UACGUAGGGGGCAAGCGUUGUCCGGAUUUAUUGGGCGUAAAGAGCGUGUAGGCGGCCAGGUGGGUCUGCUGUGAAAACUCGAGGCUUAACCUCGAGCUGUCGGCGGAAACCAUCUGGCUAGAGUCCGGAAGAGGAGAAUGGAAUUCCCGGUGUAGCGGUGAAAUGCGCAGAUAUCGGGAAGAACACCCGUGGCGAAGGCGGUUCUCUGGGACGGUACUGACGCUGAGACGCGAAAGCGUGGGGAGCGAACAGG
rnacentral:rRNA from 1 species